rnacentral:rRNA from 1 species
AGUGAACGCUGGCGGUAGGCCUAACACAUGCAAGUCGAACGGCAGCACAGUAAGAGCUUGCUAUUACGGGUGGCGAGUGGCGGACGGGUGAGGAAUACAUCGGAAUCUACUUUUUCGUGGGGGAUAACGAAGGGAAACUUACGCUAAUACCGCAUACGACCUACGGGUGAAAGCAGGGGAUCUUCGGACCUUGAGCGAUUGAAUGAGCCGAUGUCGGAGUAGCUGGUUGGCGGGGUAAAGGCCCACCAAGGCGACGAUCCGUAGCUGGACUGAGGGGAUGAUCGGCCACACGGGAGCGGAGACACGGUCCAGAACCCUAAGGGAGGCAGCAGCGGGGAAUAUUGGAGAGGGGGCGGAAGCCAGAUCCAGCCAUAGCGCGUGGGUGAAGAAGGCCUUCGGGUUGUAAAGCCCUUUUGUUGGGAAAGAAAAGCAGCAGGUUAACGCCGCGCUGUUCUGCGGGUACCGAAAGAAUAGGCACCGGCUAACACGGU